CUUUAACGAAUCCGACGUAGAGGAUAUACUGCAUUCUCGAGACCAGGCCCAAACCCCGUCAUUUGUGUGAAGAAAAGACGGAGAUAAAGGGGGUGGAGGUCGGGCUUCCUUCUGAGAAUUCAUAGGCGAUUGUGGCUGAACGACGACACGGAUACUAGAGAGCUGGCUGGGUAUUCCGGGCAUCGGCAGGACAGAAAAGCUACGUCUGCAUUUUCUGCUACAUCUGACCGGUCUUCCAUUAUUUCUGUCUUUCUAUCCUCGCACUCCCAAACCUUUGGCCUCGUCCUAUGAAGGCCACUGGGCUGGCUGCAGGUGAGUAGGCGAGAAUGGGGUAAGUUGAGAAUUUGAUUACAUUCAGCAUCAUGAUGUCAAGGGAAAUAUAGUAUUCUUUCUAUCAAAGAUAUCUACAUAUAUUUAAGGUGUAGCCCUGGAAAUAAUUAGAUUUCAUGUAAACAAUAC
ensembl:lncRNA